GGGGCUGAUUCUGGAUUCGACGGGAUUUGCGAAACCCAAGGUGCAUGCCGAGGGGCGGUUGGCCUCGUAAAAAGCCGCAAAAAAUAGUCGCAAACGACGAAAACUACGCUUUAGCAGCUUAAUAACCUGCUUAGAGCCCUCUCUCCCUAGCCUCCGCUCUUAGGACGGGGAUCAAGAGAGGUCAAACUCAAAAGAGAUCGCGUGGAAGCCCUGCCUGGGGUUGAAGCGUUAAAACUUAAUCAGGCUAGUUUGUUAGUGGCGUGUCCGUCCGCAGCUGGCAAGCGAAUGUAAAGACUGACUAAGCAUGUAGUACCGAGGACGUAGGAAUUUCGGACGCGGGUUCAACUCCCGCCAGCUCCACCA
rnacentral:tmRNA from 1 species